UGUUUGUGACUGUGGUCGUGGCAUUAAUACUGUUAAGGCUUGCUUUAUCUCAAUACCAAUUUUCCAACUAUGAAGACAUCCCUAGCUACAUAAAACGGGCGUUAAAUCAGAAGAAUCGAUACAAAAUGGUGCCAAAAGCGACGAAGCACAUCACUAACUUGACGUUAGAGGAAGUAGUUGAGAAAAUUAAAAAGAUAACGUUCUCUCUGAACCAACACGCUAAAAAGAAUGGGUACUAUGUGGACUAUAAGUUUAGAAUAUUCGAGAAGAAAUGACGUGGCGAUUUGGUUAUCGUAAUAAAGAUUUUUGGUUUGA